GGCAGCCGCGGUAAUUCCAGCUCCAAUAGCGUAUAUUAAAGUUGUUGCAGUUAAAAAGCUCGUAGUUGAAUUUCGGGAUCAAGUUGUUGGUCGUGCCUCGGUACGUACUGGUGACAUUGGUUUCUCCCUUCUGAAGAACCUUGAUGUCAUUAAUUUGGUGUCUUGGGGAAUCAGGACUGUUACUUUGAAAAAAUUAGAGUGUUUAAAGCAGGCUCACGCUUGAAUACAUUAGCAUGGAAUAAUGAAAUAGGACGUUUGAUUCUAUUUUGUUGGUUUCUAGGAUCGACGUAAUGAUUAAUAGGGAUAGUUGGGGGCAUUAGUAUUCAAUUGUCAGAGGUGAAAUUCUUGGAUUUAUUGAAGACUAACUACUGCGAAAGCAUUUGCCAAGGAUGUUUUCAUUAAUCAAGAACGAAAGUUAGGGGAUCGAAGACGAUCAGAUACCGUCGUAGUCUUAACCAUAAACUAUGCCGACUAGGGAUCGGAUGAUGUUAAUUUUUUAAUGACUCAUUCGGCGCCUUAC
rnacentral:rRNA from 1 species